CCUACGGGUGGCAGCAGUGAGGAAUAUUGGUCAAUGGUCGAGAGCCUGAACCAGCCAAGUCGCGUGAGGGAAGACGGUCCUAUGGAUUGUAAACCUCUUUUGUCGGAGAACAAAGACCGGGACGCGUCCCCGGAUGCGUGUAUCCGAAGAAAAAGCAUCGGCUAACUCCGUGCCAGCAGCCGCGGUAAUACGGAGGAUGCGAGCGUUAUCCGGAUUUAUUGGGUUUAAAGGGUGCGCAGGCGGUCUGUUAAGUCAGCGGUAAAAGUGCGGGGCUCAACCCCGGCGAGCCGUUGAAACUGGCAGACUUGAGUUGGCGAGAAGUACGCGGAAUGCGCGGUGUAGCGGUGAAAUGCAUAGAUAUCGCGCAGAACUCCGAUUGCGAAGGCAGCGUGCCGGCGCCAGACUGACGCUGAGGCACGAAAGCGUGGGGAUCGAACAGGAUUAGAUACCCCUGUAGUC
rnacentral:rRNA from 1 species